GACAGGGGGGGCAAGCGUUGCUCGGAAUUACUGGGCGUAAAGGGCGCGUAGGCGGGAUGGCAAGUCGGUCGUGAAAUCCCUCGGCUCAACCGAGGAACGUCGAUCGAUACUGCUGUUCUUGAGGAUUGCAGAGGAGACUGGAAUUCCCGGUGUAGCGGUGAAAUGUGUAGAGAUCGGGAGGAACACCGGUGGCGAAGGCGGGUCUCUGGGCAAUUCCUGACGCUGAGACGCGAAAGCGUGGGGAGCAAACAGG
rnacentral:rRNA from 1 species